rnacentral:rRNA from 1 species
GAGUUUGAUCUUGGCUCAGAUUGAACGCUGGCGGCAUGCCUUACACAUGCAAGUCGAACGGCAGCACGGGAGCUUGCUCCUGGUGGCGAGUGGCGAACGGGUGAGUAAUGCAUCGGAACGUAUCCUGGAGUGGGGGAUAACGUAGCGAAAGUUACGCUAAUACCGCAUAUUCUGUGAGCAGGAAAGCGGGGGACCUUCGGGCCUCGCGCUCUUGGAGCGGCCGAUGUCGGAUUAGCUAGUUGGUGAGGUAAAGGCUCACCAAGGCGACGAUCCGUAGCAGGUCUGAGAGGAUGAUCUGCCACACUGGAACUGAGACACGGUCCAGACUCCUACGGGAGGCAGCAGUGGGGAAUUUUUGGACAAUGGGGGCGAACCCUGAUCCAGCCAUGCCGCGUGAGUGAAGAAGGCC